GUGAGGAAUAUUGCGCAAUGGGGGAAACCCUGACGCAGCGACGCCGCGUGGGUGACGAAGGCCUUCGGGUCGUAAAACCCUUUUGGCAGGGACGAGUGAGGACGGUACCUGUCGAAUAAGUCUCGGCGAACUACGUGCCAGCAGCCGCGGUAAAACGUAGGAGGCGAGCGUUAUCCGGAUUCACUGGGCGUAAAGCGCACGUAGGCGGUCGGGUAAGUCGGAUGUUAAAGCCCCUGGCUCAACUGGGGGAGGUCAUUCGAUACUGCUCGGCUUGAGGAUGAGAGAGGAAAGUGGAAUUCCCGGUGUAGCGGUGGAAUGCGUAGAGAUCGGGAGGAACACCAGUGGCGAAAGCGGCUUUCUGGCUCAUUCCUGACGCUGAGUGUGCGAAAGCGUGGGUAGCAAACGGGAUUAGAUACCCCAGUAGUCC
rnacentral:rRNA from 1 species